GUGUUAUUCAUAAUAGCCUGAAAAUGGAACAAACCAAAUGUUCAUCAGCUGAUAAGGGGAUAAACAAAAUGUGGUAUAUAAUGGAACAUUAUUCAACUACAAAAAUGACUGAUAUACUGAUACAAUACAUGUUACAACAUGGAUGAACCUUCAAAACAUUAUGCUGAAAGAAAUAAGUUAGACACAAAAGACUGCACAUUCUAUUAUUUUCAGGCAGCUUCCUGCUCUACCACUUCUCAGCUGGCACAGUCCUUCACCCACGUGGAA
rnacentral:lncRNA from 1 species